rnacentral:rRNA from 1 species
AGCGAACGCUGGCGGCGUGCCUAAUACAUGCAAGUCGAGCGCAGGAAGCUGACGGAACUCUUCGGAGGGAAGGCAGUGGAAUGAGCGGCGGAUGGGUGAGUAACACGUAAGGAACCUGCCUCAAGGAUUGGGAUAACUCCGAGAAAUCGGAGCUAAUACCGGAUAGUUCAACGGACCGCAUGGUCCGCUGAUGAAAGGCGCUUCGGCGUCACCUUGAGAUGGCCUUGCGGUGCAUUAGCUAGUUGGUGAGGUAACGGCCCACCAAGGCGACGAUGCAUAGCCGACCUGAGAGGGUGAUCGGCCACACUGGGACCGAGACACGGCCCAGACUCCUACGGGAGGCAGCAGUAGGGAAUCUUCCACAAUGGACGAAAGUCUGAUGGAGCAACGCCGCGUGAGUGAUGAAGGUUUUCGGAUCGUAAAACUCUGUUGUAAGGGAAGAACACGUACGAGAGGAAAUGCUCGUACCUUGACGGUACCUUACGAGAAAGCCACGGCUAACUACGUGCCAGCAGCCGCAGUAACAC